rnacentral:lncRNA from 1 species
CAGCUGUUAAUAAUUCAGGGGUUGGCAGAAUGGAGACCUAAGAAAACAUUUCCUCCCUCUGCUUUGCCACAACCUUGCUUUCAGAGUGGUCCCUUCCUGAUGGGACACAGCAUCCACAUGUAACAUCAAAAACCCAUGGACAGCAUUGCUGAUGUCUGUUUUUCCCUUUGGCUUGCUGUCUUUUACCUAACUAUAAAAGGAAAACACAUGGGAGUUUUUAAGAGCAGGUUGUGUUUGCUGCUACCUGCCUCAUGUCACCUAUCCGGGAGCUUUCCAGCAGUCUGUUGUUCCACUUACUCUGGUGUGGGAAAGGCACCUUCUGCUGACUCAUCGGUGGAAGAUAAAUGAACUCUUGAUUCCAGCAGUUCACUCUGAUCCUGUUCUUCACGCAGUGGCUUUGCCUGGAUGUCCCUAUAGAGCACCUCCACCUGUGAGACUGUGCCCAGACAGCAGACCCAAAUGCACAGGCCCUGGCAGUCUGCUUUCUGGCCCUGAAGCAAGCCAGAUACCUCCCUGUAAUUUCACAGUUAAGUGGAAGUUGAUCUGGUUGGAAGAAAUCAGCAAACCAAAAAGGGUUACCAAGCCCAAAGAAUGGAAAACAGAAAUAAAACAAACAAACAAACAAAAAAAUCCAAACGGAACCAACACAGGCUACAGAAAUGUUACAGGUAGAGGCGAUUUUUGUCAGAGGAUCUUAUCCAUUAAAAUGUCGAUGGUGUUGCAGACAUCCGUCCAGGAGCCUUUAGCAGCAAUCCCGUUGCCAACGAGAGACAUUCUUACCUUGGAGAGAAUUUCAGGCAGCCACGACCAUCCCCGCCACCAGCUGUGGCUGAGAAUGGAUGUUUAGUAACUCAUCUCCAUGCCUGUUUGAAAAACAGCAUGGGCUGUGGCGGGGCCAGCGGGUUUGACUCUUCAUCUUGCGGAAUCAGACUCCCACUGGCAGCAUAUCUGAUAGAUUGCCAACAGAAGUGGAAUCAGCCCACUGAACGAUGCUCUCUGCAUCUCAUUUGAAUUCCAAAAGGCCUGCUUUUUCCCAUUAAUGUCAGUCGGGAAUAUCAGGGUGGCUCUGAAGUGUAGGAUGAUUACAAAGAAUAGUCACAAAAUGUCUUUCAGUCAAAAGGACCAUUACAAACAAAAUAGUCGGGAGUUACAGUCUAGCCUGCACCACCAUGUUCUUUAAAUUCCCAAUGAAGCUGUAGAAGCAGAUGGGGAUUCUCAACUCUCAUUUACUACGUCUGAGCCACAGUUCUACUGAAAAUUAAUAGUUUCAAAAUUGCCAGUAGCUUUGUCCUGUUAUAUAAAGUAUUUAACGUGCACAGGGUUUGCUCUUUGGGGAACAGACUUACCAGAUUCAGGAAAUAAAAGAUAAAGGAG